CAAUCGGCUCUUUUCAGAGCCAUAAAAGAUUCCAACGAAAGAAUGU
rfam:Dufourea novaeangliae contig871, whole genome shotgun sequence.